rnacentral:rRNA from 1 species
UACAGAGGUCUCGAGCGUUGUUCGGAUUCAUUGGGCGUAAAGGGCGCGUAGGCGGCGGGGUAAGUCUGGUGUGAAAUCUCGGAGCUCAACUCCGAAACUGCAUUUGAUACUGCGGUGCUUGAGGACUGGAGAGGAGACUGGAAUUUACGGUGUAGCGGUGAAAUGCGUAGAUAUCGUAAGGAAGACCAGUUGCGAAGGCGGAUCUCUGGGCAGUUCCUGACACUGAGGCACGAAGGCCAGGGGAGCAAACGGG